rnacentral:rRNA from 1 species
GGCAAAAGAGAGCUUGAUUGCAAGACAUACAGGUCGAGCAAGGAUGAAAAUCGGACUUAGUGAUCCGGUGGUUCUGCGUGGAAGGGCCAUCGCUCAACGGAUAAAAGCUACCCUGGGGAUAACAGGCUUAUCUCCCCCAAGAGUCCACAUCGACGGGGAGGUUUGGCACCUCGAUGUCGGCUCAUCACAUCCUGGGGCUGUAGUAGGUCCCAAGGGUUGGGCGGUUCGCCCAUUAAAGUGGUACGCGAGCUGGGUUCAGAACGUCGGGAGACAGUUCGGUCCCUAUCCGUCGCAGGCGUAGGAAAUUUGAGAAGACCUGUCCUUAGUACGAGAGGACCGGGAUGGACGUACCUCUGGUGUACCAGUUGU